rnacentral:rRNA from 1 species
UACAGAGGUCCCGAGCGUUGUUCGGAUUCACUGGGCGUAAAGGGUGCGUAGGUGGCAUGGUAAGUUUGAUGUGAAAGCUCAGGGCUCAACCCUGAAAUGGCAUUGAAUACUACUGUGCUGGAGGUUUGGGGGGGGGACUGGAAUUCUUGGUGUAGCAGUGAAAUGCGUAGAUAUCAAGAGGAACACCAGUGGCGAAGGCGAGUCCCUGGACAACACCUGACACUGAGGCACGAAAGCCGGGGGAGCAAACAGG